GACGAACGCUGGCGGCGUGCUUAACACAUGCAAGUCGAACGGAAAGGCCCUGCUUUUGUGGGGUGCUCGAGUGGCGAACGGGUGAGUAACACGUGAGUAACCUGCCCUUGACUUUGGGAUAACUUCAGGAAACUGGGGCUAAUACCGGAUAGGAGCUCCUGCUGCAUGGUGGGGGUUGGAAAGUUUCGGCGGUUGGGGAUGGACUCGCGGCUUAUCAGCUUGUUGGUGGGGUAGUGGCUUACCAAGGCUUUGACGGGUGGCCGGCCUGAGAGGGUGACCGGCCACAUUGGGACUGAGAUACGGCCCAGACUCCUACGGGAGGCAGCAGUGGGGAAUAUUGCACAAUGGGCGGAAGCCUGAUGCAGCAACGCCGCGUGCGGGAUGACGGCCUUCGGGUUGUAAACCGCUUUCGCCUGUGACGAAGCGUGAGUGACGGUAAUGAGUAAAGAAGCACCGGCUAACUACGUG
rnacentral:rRNA from 1 species